rnacentral:rRNA from 1 species
AGUGAACGCUGGCGGUAGGCCUAACACAUGCAAGUCGAACGGCAGCACAGUAAGAGCUUGCUCUUACGGGUUGCGAGUGGCGGACGGGUGAGGAAUACAUCGGAAUCUACUUUUUCGUGGGGGAUAACGUAGGGAAACUUACGCUAAUACCGCAUACGACCUACGGGUGAAAGCAGUGGAUCUUCGGACCUUGCGCGAUUGAAUGAGCCGAUGUCGGAUUAGCUAGUUGGCGGGGUAAAGGCCCACCAAGGCGACGAUCCGUAGCUGGUGUGAGAGGAUGAUCAGCCACACUGGAGCUGAGACACGGUCCAGACUCCUACGGGAGGCCGCAGUGGGGAAUAUUGGACAAUGGGCGCAAGCCUGAUCCAGCCAUACCGCGUGGGUGAAGAAGGCCUUCGGGUUGUAAAGCCCUUUUGUUGGGAAAGAAAAGCAGCAGGUUAAUACCCCGCUGUUCUGACGGUACCCAAAGAAUAAGCACCGGCUAACUUCGUG